AGAUUGAACGCUGGCGGCAUGCCUAACACAUGCAAGUCGAACGGGAGUAGCAAUACUCUAGUGGCGGACGGGUGAGGAAUACGUAGGAAUUUGCCCUUAAGUGGGGGAUAACCCGGGGAAACCCGGAUUAAUACCGCAUGACCUCGAAAGAGCAAAGUGGGGGAUCGCAAGACCUCACGCUUUUGGAGAAGCCUACGUCGGAUUAGCUAGUUGGUGAGGUAAUGGCUCACCAAGGCGACGAUCCGUAACUGGUCUGAGAGGAUGAUCAGUCACACCGGAACUGAGACACGGUCCGACUCCUACGGGAGGCAGCAGUGGGGAAUAGUUGGACAAGUGGGCGAAAG
rnacentral:rRNA from 1 species